rnacentral:rRNA from 1 species
UACGAGGGGUGCAAGCGUUAUUCGGAAUCAUUUGGGCGUAAAGGGUGCGUAGGCGGCUUGUUAAGUCAACUGUUAAAUUCUCCGGCCUAACUGGAGGUCAGCGGUAGAAACUGGCGAGCUUGAGAUGAGAAGAGAGGAGUGGAAUUCUCGGAGUAGCGGUAAAAUGCGUAGAUCUCGAGAGGAACACCGAUGGCGAAGGCAGCUCCUUGGUCUCUAUCUGACGCUGAGGCACGAAAGCGUGGGGAGCAAACAGG